rnacentral:rRNA from 1 species
AUACGAAGGGUGCAAGCGUUACUCGGAAUUACUGGGCGGUAAAGCGUGCGUAGGUGGUGGUUUAAGUCUGCUGUGAAAGCCCUGGGCUCAACCUGGGAAUUGCAGUGGAUACUGGAUCACUAGAGUGUGGUUAGAGGGAUGCGGAAUUUCUGGUGUAGCAGUGAAAUGCGUAGAGAUCAGAAGGAACAUCCGUGGCGAAGGCGGCAUCCUGGGCCAACACUGACACUGAGGCACGAAAGCGUGGGGAGC